AAGGUACGGGAGGCAGCAGCUGAGAAUCUUCCGCAAUGGACGAAAGUCUGACGGAGCGACACCGCGUGAACGAUGAAGGCCGGAAGGUUGUAAAGUUCUUUUGCAGACAAAGAAUAAGGAUAGAAGGAAAUGGCUAUCUGAUGACGGUAGUUAUGCGAAUAAGCCCCGGCUAAUUACGUGCCAGCAGCCGCGGUAAUCCUU
rnacentral:rRNA from 1 species